rnacentral:rRNA from 1 species
AACGCGAAGAACCUUACCUGGGCUUGACAUCCCGUGAACAUCUAGGAGACUAGGUUUCCGAGCAAUCGGACACGGAGACAGGUGCUGCAUGGCUGUCGUCAGCUCGUGCCGUGAGGUGUUGGGUUAAGUCCCGCAACGAGCGCAACCCUUGUCGUGUGUUGGUCCACAAGAUCUCUCACACGAGACCGCCGGUGACAAGCCGGAGGAAGGUGGGGAUGACGUCAAGUCCUCAUGGCCUUUAUGUCCAGGGCUACACACGUGCUACAAUGGCCGGUACAAACCGUCGCAAACCCGCGAGGGGGAGCUAAUCGGAAAAAGCCGGCCUCAGUUCGGAUCGCAGUCUGCAACUCGACUGCGUGAAGCUGGAAUCGCUAGUAAUCGCGGAUCAGAACGCCGCGGUGAAUACGUUCCCGGGCCUUGUACACACCGACAUA